AAGUCGUAACAAGGUUUCCGUAGGUGAACCUGCGGAAGGAUCAUUAUCGAGUUUUGACUGGGUUGUAGCUGGCCUUCCGAGGCAUGUGCACGCCCUGCUCAUCCACUCUACACCUGUGCACUUACUGUGGGCUUCAGAUCGUAAAACGGGUCCCUUUACCGGACUUGCGGAGCGUGUCUGUGCCUGCGUUUAUCACAAACUCUAUAAAGUAUCAGAAUGUGUAUUGCGAUGUAACGCAUCUAUAUACAACUUUCAGCAACGGAUCUCUUGGCUCUCGCAUCGAUGAAGAACGCAGCGAAAUGCGAUAAGUAAUGUGAAUUGCAGAAUUCAGUGAAUCAUCGAAUCUUUGAACGCACCUUGCGCUCCUUGGUAUUCCGAGGAGCAUGCCUGUUUGAGUGUCAUGAAAUCUUCAACCUGCAAGCUUUUGUGGUUUGUAGGCUUGGACUUGGAGGCUUGUCGGCCGUUCUCGGUCGGCUCCUCUUAAAUGCAUUAGCUUGGUUCCUUGCGGAUCGGCUCUCAGUGUGAUAAUGUCUACGCUGCGACCGUGAAGCGUUUGGCGAGCUUCUAACCGUCUCAGUUGGAGACAACUUUAUGACCUCUGACCUCAAAUCAGGUAGGACUACCCGCUGAACUUAAGCAU
rnacentral:rRNA from 1 species